ensembl:lncRNA
GCGGUUUGUAUAGGAUAGGAGUCCUAAAGUUUGAUGAGGAUGAAUGACGUUAUCGGGGCUGUUUUAAUAGUGUGCUAAAGGAGUGUCUUGAUCGUUUCGGGGAGUGGCAUUGUCUCCUCUAUCAGCUCACAUUAGUCAGAUUAUCGCUCAUGCCCUGAAGUUUGGGAGUCGACUGGUUACAUUCAGAGAGAACUUUUUUUAACUUGGCAGAAAUAUUUUGUUCAUUGCGUGUCUGCAGGGAGACAUUUGGAAUUUCUCACCUGUAAUAGUUAAUACCUGGGUUAAACAGACAGAUGUUUUCCAUUCACCUCACUCUCUAGAACAGAGUGCAGUGGAGAAGUAUUAAUGUCUUCUUGUAGAUUUAACUAAUACCUGGCAGUCAGGCAAGUAAUAAGAGAGAGAUGUCAUUUUAUAUUAACUAGUGAUGGCAUGAUUUCAAUUUUUCUUUUCUAAUACCAGUACUAAAACCUAGAGUAUAGACCGAUACUGAUCUAACAUUUGUUAACAACUAAUAAGCUUUAAAAUGAGAGAAUGUUUUUGUUUUGUUUUUUAAUUGUAAUGGCAUUAUUUAAGAUGAACAGCAAAAAUGACCGUACUUAAAGUGCUCACACUUUAUUGCUCUACAGAGAGCAUAGCCAUCAACAUGCCUUACACAGAACCACAGCUUUUGGGUUUUUCCUUUGAUUUAACUAACUAACUAAAUAAAUAAAUAAAUAUAACAGUGCAAUUGUGUGACCGUUUGUAAUAAAUAAGCUGUAAUUGCUGUAUAAUGCUAAAUGGCUAAUAGCUAACUAAUAGUCGUUAUGGUAACUUGGAUGGCUACUCUUGGUACCACAUGACCUACUUUUUUACGUAACUUUACAUUUCAUUAUGUUGCGCUGUAUGCGAUAUUUCAGAUUAGUUAUUUCACAGUUAGGUUUGUUGUCUUUCUAUGAUAUCUGAUCCAACAAUGCUGCUAUUUGUCGGAUUCAUUUUUCUGCUGAUAUAAUGUGGCUUAAUACCGACAUUGAAUGUCGGAUUAGUCAAUUCGUUUACAUGGACAACAAUAAUCCAAUAUUAACCCGCUUAAGACAAUACUCUGAUUAAGAAACUAGCAUGUAAACAGCAAUUUUUUAUUAUCUUAA